GAUGAACGCUGGCGGCGUGCCUAAUACAUGCAAGUCGAGCGAAUGGAUUGAGAGCUUGCUCUCAAGAAGUUAGCGGCGGACGGGUGAGUAACACGUGGGUAACCUGCCCAUAAGACUGGGAUAACUCCGGGAAAACGGGGCUAAUACCGGAUAACAUUUUGAACCGCAUGGUUCGAAAUUGAAAGGCGGCUUCGGCUGUCACUUAUGGAUGGACCCGCGUCGCAUUAGCUAGUUGGUGAGGUAACGGCUUACCAAGGCAACGAUGCGUAGCCGACCUGAGAGGGUGAUCGGCCACACUGGGACUGAGACACGGCCCAGACUCCUACGGGAGGCAGCAGUAGGGAAUCUUCCGCAAUGGACGAAAGUCUGACGGAGCAACGCCGCGUGAGUGAUGAAGGCUUUCGGGUCGUAAAGCUCUGUUGUUAGGGAAGAACAAGUGCUAGUUGAAUAAGCUGGCACCUUGACGGUACCUAACCAGAAAGCCACGGCUAACUACGUGCCAGCAGCCGCCGUAAUAC
rnacentral:rRNA from 1 species